AUGGGAGGGCACAGGACCGGGCCGGGCACCCAACUGUCCACAGUCGGUUGGAAGGGGGAGCAGGGGUCAGCAGGGAAGGGGGGCCGUUGUGUCUCUCUAAAGAUGCCCCUGCCCCCCACGCGCGGGAGGAGGAGGGGCCCUUCCCUCGGGAAGCUGCAUCAGCACCGGACAACAGGGGCCCGGAGCGUGGCGAGGGCAGGGGAUGGGGACCCCAGAAACGGGAUGGAAGCUCCCCGCCCAGGAGUCCCUGUGACCGGACGCUGGAGGCCUUUACCCUUCAGAGGCAGGGCCUUGCCUGUGUUGGCCUCCGUGUGUGCUCUCCGGGGCUGGGGAGGCAACGCCACAGACUGGGGGGGGAGCCUAACACCCCCAAUUUACCCUCUCAUGGCCCUGCCGUCUGAGCAGGGCCGCGCCAGCUCCAGAGGCUCUAGGGCAGGGCCAGUCCUGCUGCACCUGCUGCCCUGGCGCUCCCGGCCUCCCGGGCCUGUGGCCACGGCACACGCAUCUCUGUCCGCCUGCUUCCCUCCACGUGUGUCCAAAGUCCCCUCUUCUUGUAAGGACACCAGUCCUAUGGGAUCAGGGUCCACCCUGGUGAUCUUAGCUCAACUUGGGAGACAGGCCAGGGACCUUGAGCAGGGCAGGGGGUGGGUGCCGGGCCGAGCGAGCCCCGGGGGCACAGGCUGCGGCUCCAGCUCAGGGCGACGGGCUGUGUGCGCCCCAUGGUUCACCUCAGGAGCCUGUUGCCCCACUUGCGACCCCGUGGGGACAAAGCUUCUGUGCUUGCAGCCUCCUCCACGGGUGACACUGAGGCUCUGGCCCUCUGAGCUGCAGGAGGAGCUUCGGGAGGGGAAGGGGAGGAGAGUCUGGCUUGGAAGGGGCCGCAGCCCAGCCUCCGGGCGCCUCUGCACCUGCAACUCCCACGCCAGCUGCUGCCAGCCCAAGCGAGGGAGAAGGGACCCCAAAACAGCACAGAAGGGAGGGGUGAGCAAGGCAAUGGCCCUGCCAGCACCCCUUCCCUGUCCUGUCCGACACCUCGCCACAGACCGUGGCAGCCCCAGGCAGUGA
rnacentral:lncRNA from 12 species